rnacentral:rRNA from 1 species
CGUGCUACAAUGGGUAGUACAGAGGGUUGCCAAGCCGUAAGGUGGAGCUAAUCCCUUAAAGCUACUCUCAGUUCGGAUUGUAGGCUGAAACUCGCCUACAUGAAGCUGGAGUUACUAGUAAUCGCAGAUCAGAAUGCUGCGGUGAAUGCGGUCCCGGGUCUUGUACACACCGCCCGUCACACCACGGGAGUUGGAGACGCCCGAAGCCGAUUAUCUAACC